GAUGAACGCUGGCGGCGUGCCUAAUACAUGCAAGUCGAGCGAACGGACGAGAAGCUUGCUUCUCUGAUGUUAGCGGCGGAAGGGUGAGUAAAACGUGGAUAACAUACCUAUAAGACUGGGAUAACUUCGGGAAACCGGAGCUAAUACCGGAUGAUAUUUUGAACCGCAUGGUUCAAAAGUGAAAGACGGUCUUGCUGUCACUUAUAGAUGGAUCCGCGCUGCAUUAGCUAGUUGGUAAGGUAACGGCUUACCAAGGCAACGAUGCAUAGCCGACCUGAGAGGGUGAUCGGCCACACUGGAACUGAGACACGGUCCAGACUCCUACGGGAGGCAGCAGUAGGGAAUCUUCCGCAAUGGGCGAAAGCCUGACGGAGCAACGCCGCGUGAGUGAUGAAGGUCUUCGGAUCGUAAAACUCUGUUAUUAGGGAAGAACAUAUGUGUAAGUAACUGUGCACAUCUUGACGGUACCUAAUCAGAAAGCCACGGCUAACUACGUG
rnacentral:rRNA from 1 species